GACGAACGCUGGCGGCGUGCUUAACACAUGCAAGUCGAACGGAAAGACCCUGCUUUUGUGGGGUGCUCGAGUGGCGAACGGGUGAGUAACACGUGAGUAACCUGCCCUUGACUUUGGGAUAACUUCAGGAAACUGGGGCUAAUACCGGAUAGGAGCUCCUGCUGCAUGGUGGGGGUUGGAAAGUUUCGGCGGUUGGGGAUGGACUCGCGGCUUAUCAGCUUGUUGGUGGGGUAGUGGCUUACCAAGGCUUUGACGGGUAGCCGGCCUGAGAGGGUGACCGGCCACAUUGGGACUGAGAGACGGCCCAGACUCCUACGGGAGGCAGCAGUGGGGAAUAUUGCACAAUGGGCGGAAGCCUGAUGCAGCAACGCCGCGUGCGGGAUGACGGCCUUUGGGUUGUAAACCGCUUUCGCCUGUGACGAAGCGUGAGUGACGGUAAUGGAUAAAGAAGCACCGGCUAACUACGUG
rnacentral:rRNA from 1 species